GAUGAAGAACGCAGCGAAAUGCGAUACGUAAUGUGAAUUGCAGAAUUCAGUGAAUCAUCGAGUCUUUGAACGCACAUUGCGCCCCCUGGUAUUCCGGGGGGCAUGCCUGUCCGAGCGUCAUUGCUGCCCUCAAGCACGGCUUGUGUGUUGGGCCUCCGUCCUCCUCCCGGGGGACGGGCCCGAAAGGCAGCGGCGGCACCGCGUCCGGUCCUCGAGCGUAUGGGGCUUUGUCACCCGCUCUGCAGGCCCGGCCGGCGCUGGCCGACGCGAAAGCAACCAUUUUUUCUCCAGGUUGACCUCGGAUCAGGUAGGGAUACCCGCUGAACUUAAGCAUAUCAAUAAGCGGAGGA
rnacentral:misc_RNA from 1 species